AGGCGUAGAUGAAGGGCCGCGGUGCGGAGCUAGCGGCCAUGGCUUGGAGCCGGGGACCGCGGUGGAGGGACGGAUCCCCGGUGAGCACGGCAAUGGCAGGGCGCAGAUGCAGGGACAAUCCACAAGCGUCGAAGUCUUCAUCCCGACGAGCAGCGAGGAGCAUGACGAAUAUUUUCGCUAGAUGCAGUGGAGAGAAAAAAUCAGAGAGCCUUUGGGAGGUGAUGUCCAUGAAGGUGCGGCCAGUAGAGAGAUUUGGGUCUGCCUCCAAAAUCUUCAGGUCUUCCUAGAGUCUGCCAUUCCAGUUGCCAUGGAGGUCGGCUCUCAUGAGGUGCUUCCAUUGUUUCAUCUACGGUGAAGAAGGCUGCCCAAAUUAUUCUGCAAGAAGAUGCAGUAAGACUUCAUUCAAGAAACUCUUAGAUUUUUAAAAAGCAGUAUUUCUUUGCUUCUCCAUGAUCAAGCUCUGAAAACUAUUUUUGUGGCAGACUAGAUAUGAGAGAUCAUCAAUGAUGUGAUAACCAAAACUGGUGAAGCUUCAGUUUUACACGGACAGUUCUCCUGCACCUGCUCUCCCUUCUUAGGGGAGUUCCUAGAGAGAUUUCAGCUCUUUUGAGUGGCCAUAAAUAUUAUGAAACUUUUUUUUCUUGAAUGCGCAGGAGAACUGUGCAUCAAUAUAUUAAGAAGAAAAGGGAGGGGUAGAAACCCCAGGAGAUACAGUUAUGGGCCUGUAUCGUGCCCUUACAACAAACCCCAAAAAUGCUCUUCCCUCAAACACAAUGACGCAUCAACAGUUUUUUUUAUGUAGGAUAGUUAUGCUAGAUCAACAAGCAAAUUGUCCAUUGCAAUGUCACAUUUUUUUGUGUUCUUGUUUUAGCAAUCUUUUCAUAUGUUAGUGAAUUUAGUAUUUUGGUCCUACUGAUCAACUUUUGCAGCAAACAUUCAUUUUUGGUUUAGCAUUUUUUGUAUUCCAGUUAAGCAUUUUUAUAAUCUGAUUAUCUGAUUCAAUUCUUUGUGUUUGGUGCUAGUAUGCAGGCUCAUACAAAUAUGAUGAUGGAGCCAGUCCAAACCAUUUUUGGUUGUAGAGGAUGAGGGCGGGACACUUGUUUUUUAUGAAUGUUUAGAUAGGUGAAACUGCCUUUGAAUAUGCUGUAAUUUGCUUACAGUUAUUCAAAGCUUUGCUUUUUCUUUGUAACCAUCGAGUUGAAUUAGCUGUAUUAAAAAUGUAGAAUGUCCAUAAGCAAGAGGGCAGCUAUGUAGAUCUGAAUAUGUGGGCAAACAUUACUAUUUUACUAAUAAUUGAUGCUAGACCAGCUUGUUUUCAUGCACUAA